rfam:Triticum urartu cultivar G1812 contig564752, whole genome shotgun sequence.
CAUGUACUUGCUCCGUUUCGAAUUACUUAUUUUAGAUUUGUUUAGAUACAAAGGUAUCUAGCACUAUGAAGAUAUUUAGUAUUAAAAUGAGUCUAGAUACAUUCGUAUUUAGAUAAACCCAAGAGAAGUAAUUUGAAACGGAGGGAGUAGUAG